AUGGCCCCCAAACAUUCCUGGAAAUUCCCAAUAUUCCCAGGAAUCUCACCAAACAUUCCCAGCAAACACUCUGGGAAUUCCCACCAAACAUUCCCAACGUUCUCACCAGACACUGCAACCAAACAUUCCCAACAUUCCCACCAAACAUUCCCACCACUCCUGGCAUUCCCAGAAUUCCCACCUGAGCUCCUCCAUCUCUUCGUGGUCCCAACAUUCCCAACAAAUAUUCCGGGAAUUCCCACCUCACAUUCUCACCAAACACUCCCAACAUUCCCAACAAACACUCCUGGAAUUCUCACCAAGCAUUCCCAGCAAACAUUCCCAAACGUUGCCCCCACACAUUCCUGGAAUUCCCAACAGUCCCAGAAUUCCUAUCCAAACAUUCAUGGAAUUCCCACCAAGCAUUCCCAAUGUUCUCACCAGACAUUCCCACCAAACACCCCCAGAAUUCUCACCAAACAUUCCCAACAAAUAUUCUGGGAAUUCCCACCAAACAUUCCCACCAAACACUCCCAGAUUCCCAGCAAACACUCCUGGAAUUCCCACCCAACAUUCCCACCCAACAGUCAGGGAAUUCCCACCCAACAUUCCCUCCCAGCAUUCCCACCGGAGCUCCUCCAUCUCCCUUUUCCUGCGGAGCUCCUCGCGCUGCUCCCGGCGCUGCUCCUGCAGCUCCGCCCGGCGCCGCCCCCGCUCCUCCCGGUCCCGGCAUUCCCGCUCGGCCGCCAGGUCCGGGAACCGCUCCACGCGCGUCCGCUCCAGCCGCCGCAGCUGCUCCGCCCCGCGACGCUCCACCGUCACCGAGCGCACCGUGGGGUUAGACCGGGCUUAGACCGGGCUUAAACUGGGGUUAAACUGGGACUGAACUGGGGCUGAACCGGGAUGAACUGGGGCUGAACUGGGAUUGAACUGGGGUUACACCGGGAGUUAAACUGGGAACUGGGAGCGCGCUGCUCCGCCCCGCGCCGCUCCACCGGCACCGAGCGCACCUGGGGUUAGACCGGGUUUAGACCAGGCUCAGACCGGGCUUAAACCUGGGCUUAAACUGGGACUGAACUGGGGCUGAACUGGGAUUGAACUGGGGUUACACCGGGAGUUAAACUGGGAACUGGGAGCACGCUGCUCCGCCGCUCCACCGGCACCGAGCGCGCCUGGGGUUAAACCGGGUUUAGACCGGGAUUAAACCGGGUUUAGCACAGGCAUUAAACCGGGGUUAAACCGGGAGUGAACUGGGAUAGAACAAGGAGUUAAACUGGGAACUGGGAGUGUGCUGCUCCGCCGCCCGCUGCUCCACCGGCACCGAGAGCACCUGGGGUUAAACCAGGGCUUAAACUGGACCUAAACCAGGGUUAAACUGGGCUUAAACCGAGCUUAAACUGGGGAUUAAACCGAGUUUAGACUGGGAUUGAACCGGGGUUAAAGUGGGAAUUAGACUGAGGAUUAAACCAGGAAUUGAAGUGGGCGCUGCUCCGCCGCUCCACCGGCACCAAACGCAGCGGGGACAAGGGGUUAAACCAGGACUAAACCAGGAUUAAACCAGGAUUAAACCGGGAUUAACGGGAGUUAAACUGGGAAUUACACUGGGAAUUACAUCAAUUAUACUGGGAAAACCAGGAAUUGAACUGGGAAUUAAACCAGGAAUUGGGAGGGCACUGCUCCGCCGUCACCCGGGGGCACCUGGGAUUAAACUGGGGUUAAACUGGGAUUAACGGGAGUUGAACUGGGAACUGGGAGUGCGCUGCUCCAGUGGUGGGGAUUAAACCGGGGUUAAACCGGGAUUAACCCGGGAAUUGGGACUGCACCGCUCCGCUAUCACGGAGAGCACCUGGGAAACAGGGAUUAA
ensembl:lncRNA